CACGAAAACAGACUGGUCUCACA
rnacentral:miRNA from 1 species